GCUACCAACCGGGUCAUCGCUCUCCGCUAUCUGCGGGGGGAGGAAAGUCCGGACAGCUAAGGGCAAUGUACCGGUUAAAAGCCGGGGCUCCCCGUUAAACGGGAGGACAGCCAGUACCACAGAAAAUAACUGCCCGUGCCUCCUCAAAGAGGCCGUGGUGAGGGUGAAAAUCCAGGGUAAGAUCCUGGGGUUCCGGUGAGUAAUUGCCGGAAGGGGUAAACCUUGCAUGCUGAAAUGCCAUGUAUAUCCCGGUUUGCCGCCCGACGGAAUAAAAUCCCGUCGGGCGGCAAGGUGAGCGGCCCGUUCACUAUCAUCUCCGAUGAUGCCGGGAAGGGUAGGCAGCUAGAUCCCUGCAGUAAUGCAGGGGCCAGAUAAAUGAUGAUCGCUCCGCACUUGUGCGGGGUAACAGGAUCCGGCUUACAGGUUGGUAGUUUUU
rnacentral:RNase_P_RNA from 1 species